AUUGAACGCUGGCGGCAUGCCUUACACAUGCAAGUCGAACGGCAGCACGGGAGCAAUCCUGGUGGCGAGGUGGCGAACGGGUGAGUAAUAUAUCGGAACGUGCCCAGUCGUGGGGGGAUAACGUAGCGAAAGCUACGCUAAUACCGCAUACGAUCUAUGGAUGAAAGCGGGGGAUCGCAAGACCUCGCGCGAUUGGAGCGGCCGAUAUCAGAUUAGGUAGUUGGUGAGGUAAAGGCUCACCAAGCCGACGAUCUGUAGCUGGUCUGAGAGGACGACCAGCCACACUGGGACUGAGACACGGCCCAGACUCCUACGGGAGGCAGCAGUGGGGAAUUUUGGACAAUGGGCGCAAGCCUGAUCCAGCAAUGCCGCGUGCAGGAUGAAGGCCUUCGGGUUGUAAACUGCUUUUGUACGGAACGAAACGGUGAGCUCUAAUACAGUUUGCUAAUGACGGUACCGUAAGAAUAAGCACCGGCUAACUACGUG
rnacentral:rRNA from 1 species